AACCCCCUUGGAGGUACAAAUCCAGUUGGACUGGAAAUUAAAUUCUUUUAUUAUUGUUCCCAAAAAUAUUUACACUCUGGAAAGCAUUUUUAUGUUUUAUCAAAAGAUAAUUAUACAAACAGGAAAGGGGGAGUAUGUAGUUCCUGCUGUCAGUCCCCUUACAAGUAUACGCUCUCUGUCCUGUCACACAGAUCUGCUGCCUGUCCUGUCACACAGAUCUGCUGCCUGUCCCGUCACACAGAUCUGCUCUCUGUCCUGUCACACAGAUCUGCUGCCUGUCCUGUCACACAGAUCUGCUCUCUGUCCUGUCACACAGAUCUGCUGCCUGUCCUGUCACACAGAUCUGCUGUCUUGUCCCUCACACAGACCCGCUGCCUGUCCUGUCACACAGACCCGCUGCCUGUCCCCUUGCAAGUCUACAGGAUGUCGCAGUCGUGUUUCUGGCUGCCCUUGCCGGCGGCUGGCGUGAAGAACUCGGGCGUUCCCGCUGCUGCUCUUCCCAGUGCCCAUUUUCCCCAGCAGCACGAUCCGCAGCUCUCCUUGCCCUGCGGACGAGAGGCGCGGCGUCAUUCCCGCGCUGCCCUGUGCCACCCUGUCGAACCCCUCCCAGGAUAUUGCCCCGUUUUUAGAAAACAAACUUUCAAAAGUGUGGGAAUUCGCUCCCUGUGCUGGGUGAGAUCUGCCAGACGUUACUAUGGCCAGGAAGUCACCCAGUGGGUUUAUGGGUUUAUGGGAGUUGUAGUUCAAGACAUCUCCUAUUAACCCACUGGGUGACUCUCUGGCUGCCCAGCAUCUGUGUUAGCUAUCCGAUCCAGCUUCUGUUCCUGCCUCUCUGCGACUGAUUUAACCCACGUGCCCUGGCAGGAGGAGUAAACGUGUAGCUACAGCCAGCUCUGAAGAGUACUCGAUGAUUCGGGUCUGUGUCACUGGCACUGACUCGUGCUCCAUCGGAGUCACAGGAUCAGGUGCCCCCAGCUCUAGAAGUAGGGGUGCGCACCCCACAGCCGGGGACCCAGUGGGUUUGGCGUGGUAUUUACAGGACAGGGCUGGCUCGGCAAGACAGCACCAUGCCAGUCCGGUCCGGUGCAGGUCUUCGACGCAGCCGGCUGCUGAGUUACAGGACCGGAUUCAGGGAGCGCCCCGCUCCGACACGCCCCUGCGAAACAGGAGCGCUGGCUCACCGCAGCGGCAGGGCUCUGCCUGGCGGGCCGGCUGGCGGCGCCGAUCCUGUUCACACAAGUGCGGAUCUGCCCUGGGUUUGAUCCCUGUGGGAGAGGUGCCCCCCUGACUCUACCCCCCCCCCUCCCCACCUUCACAGCUCCGGAUGGGGGAGACCACGUGGCCACACAUUGUGUUUACACAUCGCGUGUGCUGAGACAGGAACAUUGGGGACCCCUUCCCACAGUGCCGUGUGAAGAGGCGGGUCUCCAGAGGGCAGCGGGGGUGUGGCUUGGAGCACAGGCCCCGCCCCCAGCCCUCUGGCGCUUGCUGUCUCAUUCUGACAUCACAGGAGCUGGAGGCGUCAUCACUGGGAAACUCCUGCUCUCUGUGCAGGGGGUUGGGAACGUUCGUCGGAAAACGUCCUCAGCCACUGCCCACCCACUGACGCCCUCCCCCACAGAGCAGCUGCACCUGUCUUGUGAGCUCCAGGUGUUUCUUGCCCAGACCAGCUCAAUCUGUGGGCAAGAGCCAGAGUCCGGGCUCUGUGUCACUCCAGACUGACACGGCUCUAAAACCUGUGGUCUAUCUGGGCAAUGUGCUGUGCACACCUCCUCCCCUCACACUGACCCUGCGUAGCUCUCGUCUCUCUCAGUGUCUCCUCCCUGUGCUGCCCUGCCCUGUGUCUCACAGCUCUGCUGGCAGGAUCCCAGCUGCUGUCUCCCACACGCCCAGCAGUCUGUGAUUCAGAGGACUCAGCGCAGGGCUGGUUCAGAGUCACAGCCUCCCGGGCUAGAGACACAGGGAUAUUCCCAGAGGGAAUUUAUGGAUUCUGCAGCCUGUCGCUGGAGAGAAAUGGCCUCUUCAGAUUGUUCUCUGGUUGCUAGUGACGAUGAACUCCUCCCCCUCCCGCUGUCCUGCAGGGGGAGGGGCUGUAUGACUGCUGGCACAGAAACACGCUCCCGGCUCCUGUUUUCCAUAAGGAGCUUCCCAAUGGGAAAGGGAGGCGAGGAAUGGUGAAGAGCAGCUCCUCCCCCUCUCCUACAGGAGCUGCACGAGGCUGAAGAGAACGGUGGCCACCCUCUGAACUGCAGGCUCUCCGUCUCCAGCGGAAAGCAGGCUGGACUCUCACCACACCCUUUCCGGUUUCUCCAUCGCUACAGCCCUGGAGACUCCAGGACAGCAGGGAGAAUCUGAGUCCUGCUCAGCAGCACACGGAGCCCGACCAGAACCGGGUCGGCGCGCGGCUCUGAACAGGCUGUGCCGCGUGUCAGCGGGCCUGACAGAGCAGCUCUUUGUUCUCAAUCCGCGCAGGAAAGAGGAAGCAGAGAGACACACAGGCAGGAGGAAACAGCCCUCAGAUCGCACUGCUGCCUCUCCAGGUGCUGCUGCAGCUCGUUCUGCCCCAGUCUGCCCCAGUCUGCCCCAGUCUGCCCCAGUCUGCCCCAGUCUGCCCCCUGGCUCUGCCCCCCCACCAGGCAGAGCAGCCUGGAGACCAUGAAGAAGAGGCCCUGUGCCCUGAACGUCUCACACCCUCUCUGCCCUGAACACAGACACUCUCCACCGCGACGCCACACUGCCUGAAUGAACAAGCCACGCCAGAGCACUGAACACAGCUGUGUGCAUCCAGACCCAACACUACAGCCAAUCUCUCAGCCUGGGCAGGACAGGGGCUCAGACUGCAGCCCCACUAAAGUCUACACCGUCUACAGGCUGGCUCGGAGCUCCUCAAUCUCAAGCAGAAGACCACUGACCUGCCAUAGUGCCUGCGGUGCUCCUGAGCCGGGGAGAGGGUGCUGUCCGUGUGGCGCAGGAGACGGGUGCUCAGUGCGUCUCGGCGCGCUCAGCCAGAGAGCAGGCAGGCAGAGCAGGUCCUGAGCGAAGGAUUGCGGUCUCCGAGAGGUUUCGGUUCUAGCCCUUGUUUAUCAGAAAGGGAGGCAGGUCCACAGGAGUCCGCCCUCUGACGUAGCUCUGUCCUCCCUCCCCCUGGACUAGUCUGCAGGCAAAUGAGCUCCUGGAUUGUGUAGACAGAGGUUGGUGAGCAGCGAGAAGAGAUGACGUGGCAGACGUCACGGGGAGGGACUGUCAGGCUGGUCUUCCUCUUUCUGUGCCAGGCUCACAGCUCCGCACACUGGCCCACACUGCCUCUCUGCCUCGCCUGCCAGUCCCUCAGCUCUAAUCAGGACCCCACACUGCCUCC
rnacentral:lncRNA from 1 species